rnacentral:rRNA from 1 species
UGUGAACUCGAAGAGUAGGGCGGGACACGUGGUAUCCUGUCUGAAUAUGGGGGGACCAUCCUCCAAGGCUAAAUACUCCUGACUGACCGAUAGUGAACCAGUACCGUGAGGGAAAGGCGAAAAGAACCCCGGCGAGGGGAGUGAAAAAGAACCUGAAACCGUGUACGUACAAGCAGUGGGAGCACCUUCGGGUGUGACUGCGUACCUUUUGUAUAAUGGGUCAGCGACUUAUAUUCUGUAGCAAGGUUAACCGUAUAGGGGAGCCGAAGGGAAACCGAGUCUUAACUGGGCGUUAAGUUGCAGGGUAUAGACCCGAAACCCGGUGAUCUAGCCAUGGGCAGGUUGAAGGUUGGGUAACACUAACUGGAGGACCGAACCGACUAAUGUUGAAAAAUUAGCGGAUGACCUGUGGCUGGGGGUGAAAGGCCAAUCAAACCGGGAGAUAGCUGGUUCUCCCCGAAAGCUAUUUAGGUAGCGCCUCGUGAACUCAUCUUCGGGGGUAGAGCACUGUUUCGGCUAGGGGGCCAUCCCGGCUUACCAACCCGAUGCAAACUACGAAUACCGAAGAAUGUUAUCACGGGAGACACACGGCGGGUGCUAACGUCCGUCGUGAAGAGGGAAACAACCCAGACCGCCAGCUAAGGUCCCAAAGUCAUGGUUAAGUGGGAAACGAUGUGGGAAGGCCCAGACAGCCAGGAUGUUGGCUUAGAAGCAGCCAUCAUUUAAAGAAAGCGUAAUAGCUCACUGGUCGAGUCGGCCUGCGCGGAAGAUGUAACGGGGCUAAACCAUGCACCGAAGCUGCGGCAGCGACGCUUAUGCGUUGUUGGGUAGGGGAGCGUUCUGUAAGCCGUUGAAGGUGGCCUGUGAGGGUUGCUGGAGGUAUCAGAAGUGCGAAUGCUGACAUAAGUAACGAUAAAGCGGGUGAAAAGCCCGCUCGCCGGAAGACCAAGGGUUCCUGUCCAACGUUAAUCGGGGCAGGGUGAGUCGACCCCUAAGGCGAGGCCGAAAGGCGUAGUCGAUGGGAAACAGGUUAAUAUUCCUGUACUUGGUGUUACUGCGAAGGGGGGACGGAGAAGGCUAUGUUAGCCGGGCGACGGUUGUCCCGGUUUAAGCAUGUAGGCGGAGGUUCCAGGUAAAUCCGGUACCUUUUAACGCUGAGGUGUGAUGACGAGGCACUACGGUGCUGAAGUAACAAAUGCCCUGCUUCCAGGAAAAGCCUCUAAGCAUCAGGUAACAUCAAAUCGUACCCCAAACCGACACAGGUGGUCAGGUAGAGAAUACCAAGGCGCUUGAGAGAACUCGGGUGAAGGAACUAGGCAAAAUGGUGCCGUAACUUCGGGAGAAGGCACGCUGAUAUGUAGGUGAAGCCCCUGCGGGUGGAGCUGAAAUCAGUCGAAGAUACCAGCUGGCUGCAACUGUUUAUUAAAAACACAGCACUGUGCAAACACGAAAGUGGACGUAUACGGUGUGACGCCUGCCCGGUGCCGGAAGGUUAAUUGAUGGGGUUAGCGGUAACGCGAAGCUCUUGAUCGAAGCCCCGGUAAACGGCGGCCGUAACUAUAACGGUCCUAAGGUAGCGAAAUUCCUUGUCGGGUAAGUUCCGACCUGCACGAAUGGCGUAAUGAUGGCCAGGCUGUCUCCACCCGAGACUCAGUGAAAUUGAACUCGCUGUGAAGAUGCAGUGUACCCGCGGCAAGACGGAAAGACCCCGUGAACCUUUACUAUAGCUUGACACUGAACACUGGUCCUUGAUGUGUAGGAUAGGUGGGAGGCUUUGAAGCGUGGACGCCAGUCUGCGUGGAGCCAUCCUUGAAAUACCACCCUUUAAUGGCUGGUGUUCUAACGUAGACCCGUAAUCCGGGUUGCGGACAGUGUCUGGUGGGUAGUUUGACUGGGGCGGUCUCCUCCCAAAGAGUAACGGAGGAGCACGAAGGUUAGCUAAUCCUGGUCGGACAUCAGGAGGUUAGUGCAAUGGCAUAAGCUAGCUUGACUGCGAGAGUGACGGCUCGAGCAGGUGCGAAAGCAGGUCAUAGUGAUCCGGUGGUUCUGAAUGGAAGGGCCAUCGCUCAACGGAUAAAAGGUACUCCGGGGAUAACAGGCUGAUACCGCCCAAGAGUUCAUAUCGACGGCGGUGUUUGGCACCUCGAUGUCGGCUCAUCACAUCCUGGGGCUGAAGUAGGUCCCAAGGGUAUGGCUGUUCGCCAUUUAAAGUGGUACGCGAGCUGGGUUUAGAACGUCGUGAGACAGUUCGGUCCCUAUCUGCCGUGGGCGCUGGAGAAUUGAGGGGGGCUGCUCCUAGUACGAGAGGACCGGAGUGGACGCAUCACUGGUGUUCGGGUUGUCAUGCCAAUGGCACUGCCCGGUAGCUAAAUGCGGAAGAGAUAAGUGCUGAAAGCAUCUAAGCACGAAACUUGCCCCGAGAUGAGUUCUCCCUGAGACUUAAAGUCUCCUGAAGGAACGUUGAAGACGACGACGUUGAUAGGUCGGGUGUGUAAGCGCAGCGAUGCGUUGAGCUAACCGAUACUAAUGAACCGUGAGGCUUAACCUU